GUGGGGCAUGGUGGCACAUGCCUGUAAUCCCAGCAGCUCAGGAGGCUGAGGCAGGGGGAUCACAAGUUCAAAGCCAGCCUCAGCAACUUUGUGAGACAUUGUUUCAA
rnacentral:sRNA from 1 species